rnacentral:rRNA from 2 species
AUGCAAGUCGAGCGGAUCUUCAUUAGCUUGCUUUUGAAGAUCAGCGGCGGACGGGUGAGUAACACGUGGGCAACCUGCCUGUAAGACUGGGAUAACUUCGGGAAACCGGAGCUAAUACCGGAUAAUCCUUUUCCUCACAUGAGGGAAAGCUGAAAGACGGUUUCGGCUGUCACUUACAGAUGGGCCCGCGGCGCAUUAGCUAGUUGGUGAGGUAACGGCUCACCAAGGCAACGAUGCGUAGCCGACCUGAGAGGGUGAUCGGCCACACUGGGACUGAGACACGGCCCAGACUCCUACGGGAGGCAGCAGUAGGGAAUCUUCCGCAAUGGACGAAAGUCUGACGGAGCAACGCCGCGUGAGCGAUGAAGGCCUUCGGGUCGUAAAGCUCUGUUGUCAGGGAAGAACAAGUAUCGGAGUAACUGCCGGUACCUUGACGGUACCUGACCAGAAAGCCACGGCUAACUACGUGCCAGCAGCCGCGGUAAUACGUAGGUGGCAAGCGUUGUCCGGAAUUAUUGGGCGUAAAGCGCGCGCAGGCGGUUCCUUAAGUCUGAUGUGAAAGCCCCCGGCUCAACCGGGGAGGGUCAUUGGAAACUGGGGAACUUGAGUGCAGAAGAGGAGAGCGGAAUUCCACGUGUAACGGUGAAAUGCGUAGAGAUGUGGAGGAACACCCGUGGCGUAAAGAGUCUCUUUGGUCCCC